UUUUUUCCAUUCAUUUAGAUUAAGUGUUAUUUUCUAUUAUAACAUUUUAAUUCUUCUAGUUAUUUUAAUUAUAUCUGUUGACCACUUUUCUCAAUGUUUACUCUAGAGCUUACAACAUACAUGUUAACUAACUAUACCACAUUUAUAUUAACCAAAUUCCAGUGAGAUAAAGAAAUUAUAUUUUUAUAUAACCCAGUUCUCUUUGUGACAUUGCGACUUAUAAUAAAUAUAUAUUUAUUCCUUGUCCCUGUCUCUACCACGGGAGUCCCCAGAUUCUUAGAAUUUCGUAAGUGAAAGAUUUCUUAUUAUUCAUAACAAGCCCCUUCAACAACUUCUGAGUUUAUAUUAAUAAGAUGACUUUCAGAAAGGCUUUAUGGAUGGGGGCUGAUUCCCAGAGAACCAACCACAUAAUUGGUUGAAAUUUUCAGUUCCACCCACAACCUCUGGGGAGGGGACAAGAGAUUGAGAUUGAGUUCAAACUCCAAUCUGGAUUUCAGAUCGGUAUCUGAAGUAGGGGCUGAUUCAUGGAAUUGAGCCCUUAACAUAUGGGGUCUGAUAUGUCUCCAGGUAGUUGUCAGGAUUGAGUUAUAUUGUAGGUCACCCAACUGCUACCAGAGAUUUGUUCUGUCAGGGGGAAAAACACCACACAUCUGUUAACAGAAAUGUUUGAUGUGAAUACCAGAGAAAAUAAGAAAUCCAGGAAUGUUUUUCCUAUUUACCAUCCUUCUUUUUAUUUUGAAGUUACCGUUAUACAUGUGAUAUCUCUCUAUAUUACAAACCAAAUAAUACAUUUUUUAAAAAAUUACUUUGUACAAAUUUAUAAAUGCUCAGGGAGAAAAGAUGCUAAGGGAAGAAAACCAAGUAUAUAUGUUUAGAGUUUGUAAUAUUAAACUUCUUUUUUACCUUUCUCAUUCUUCUUUUUGUGAAUUUUAAUACCCUCUGAUAUCAUUUGCUUACUAUAAUACUUCCUUAUUACCAUCCCAAUUUUUUGUACUAUUGCACUCAAACAUUUCUGUUGUUAUAGGCUCAACAAUGCAAUUAUAUACAUGCUGUGUCAUGCAGUUUAUUUUUAAAUCAGUUAUAAAAAGAAAAGGAAUAAAUUUGCAAUAAUACUGCAUUUCAUAAUUACCUAACUGAUUAUCUUUUUCAGUGCUGUUCGAUUUUCUUUUAUAUGGAUUUGAAUUACUGUCUGGGAUUAUUUGCUUUUUAGCUUGAAGAUCUAACUUUAGUAGUUAUUUUUAUUUAAAAAAAUAAUAAAUUUUACUUUGUAGAGCAUUUUUAGGUUUGCAGCAAAACUGAGCAGAAAGCACAGAGAGUUUCCACAUAUUUCCUCCCCCAAAACAUAUAACCUCCUUGCCUUUAACAUCCUGGAUCUUUGUGGUACAUUUGUUACAUCAGUGAACCAGUACUGACAGGUCAUUAUCAACUAAAGUCCGUCAUUAACAUUAGGAUUCACUUUCUGUUAUACAUUCUAUAGGGUUUGACAAAUGCAUAACAAACAUAUACAAUAUAAGUAUCAUAGAGAAUAGUUUCCCUACUCUAAAAAUUCUUGUUACCUGACGUAUCAUCCCUCUGUUCCUCCCACUGAUCUUGCUAGAGUUUGAUUGGGAUAGCUUUGAAUCUAUAAAUCAAGUUAGGAGUGAUUAAUAUCUUAACAACAUAGUCUUCCUAUCCAUAAACAUAUUUCUCUAUUAUUUUGUUCUUUAAUUUCACUUAAUCAAUUUUUCUAAUUUCCCUCAUAUAUAUCCUGUACAAAUUUUGUUAGAUUUAUAUAUAAAUAUUUUUAAUUUUUGGUGCUAAUAUAAAUGGUAUUGUAGGGAUGCCUGGGUGGCUCAGCAGUUAAGAGUCUGUCUUUGGCUCAGGGCAUGAUCCCAGGGUCCUGGGAUGGAGUCCUGCAUCAGGCUCCCUGCAUGGAGCCUGCUUCUCCCUCUGCCUGUGUCUCUGCCUCUGUGUGUGUGUGUCUUUCAUGAAUGAAUAAAUAAAAUCUUUUAAAAAAUGGUUUGUAUUUUUUAUUUCAAUUUCAAUUGUUCAUUGCUGGUAUAUAGGAAAACAAUUUACUUUUGCAUAUUAGCCUUUUACUGUGCAACGUCGCUGUUAUCAUUAAUUAGUUCCAGGAGUUUUUUUUUUUACUGAUGCUUUGGGACAUUCUACAUAGGUAAUCAUGUCAUCUAUGAACAAAGCCAGUCUUAUUUCUUCAUUCCCUAUCUGUAUACUUUUUAUGCCUUUUCUUGACUUAUUGUGUUAUUUAGAACUUUCAGUAUGAUACUGAAUAGGAGUAGUGAGAAAAAACAUAUAUGCCUUGUUCUUCAUCUUACUGGAAAUGGAUCAAGUUUCUCCUCAUUAAGUAUAAUUAUCUGCAGGGUUUUGUAAAAGUUCUUAAGCAAAUUGAGGCGUUGACCUCUAUUCCCAGUUUCCUGAGAGUUUUUAUCACGAAUGAGUGCUGAAAUUUGUCAAAUACUUUUUCUGAAUCUAUUAAUUUAUAAUCAUGAGAUUUUUCUUCCAUGACUUAUUGAUGUGAGGGAUUAUAUAACUGGGUUUUAAAUACCCAGCCUUGCAUACUUAGGAAAAUUUCUGCUUCAUCAUUGAUUUAUAAUUGUAUUUAUUUUCAUUGUUAUUUUCAAUUUGCUAACAAUUUCAGGAUUUAUGCAUUUAUAUCCAUGACAGAUAUUGGUCUAUAGUUUUCUUCUUUUUUCUAAUGUCUUUGUAUGGUUUUAGUAUUGGGGCAACCCUUGUCUCAUAGAACGAGUGUGGAUGUAUUCCCUUUGCUUCUAUCUUCUGGGAAAUAUUUUUAGAAUUGGUAUAAUUUUCUUUUUAAAGUUUGAUAGAAUUAACUAGUGAGCUCAUCUGGACCUAGUGCAUUCUUUUUUGGAAAGUUAUUAAUAAUUUCCUUAUAUAUAUAUAAGCAUAUUCAUAUUGUCUAGAAAUUAUUGUUCAUCUCUGUUACCAAAUUUGUGGACUUAGAGUUGAUCAUAAUAUUAACUUUACUAUCCUUUUAAUAGGAUCACUAAUAAUAGCUUCUUUUCAUUUCUGACAUUAGCAAUGUAUAUCAUCUCUCUUUUUGUAGUUAGGUUGGCUGGAGGUUUAUUGAUUUUAUUGAUAUUUUCAGAAAACCAACUUUCUGUUGCAUUGCUUUUCUCUAUUGAUUUCCUGUUUUAUAUUUCAUUGAUUUCUGCUAUAUUUAUUAAUCAUUUUUUCUUCUACUUAUAUUGGAUUUAAUUUGCUCUUCCUUUUCUAGUUUUCUAAGGUCGUACUUAAUUGAUUUUAUAUCUUUCUUUUUUUCUAAUAUGUGCAUUUAACAUAAAUUUCUCUAAGACAUGCUUUAACUGCAUCCCAUAAGAUUUAAGAAAUUGUAUGUUCAUUUAGUUAAAAUAUUUUUAAU
rnacentral:lncRNA from 1 species